AUUGAACGCUGGCGGCAGGCCUAACACAUGCAAGUCGAACGAGUGGCGGACGGGUGAGUAAUGUCUGGGAAACUGCCCGAUGGAGGGGGCUAACUACUGGAAACGGUAGCUAAUACCGCAUACCAUCAGAUGUGCCCAGAUGGGAUUAGCUAGUUGGGGGGGUAACGGCUCACCAAGGCGACGAUCCCUAGCUGGUCUGAGAGGAUGACCAGCAACACUGGAACGGAGACACGGUCCAGACGCCGACGGGAGGAAGCAGUGGGGAAUAUUGCACAAUGGGCGCAAGCCUGAUGCAGCCAUGCGGCGUGUAUGAAGAAGGCCUUCGGGUUGUAAAGUACUUUCAGCGGGGAGGCGUUACCCGCAGAAGAAGCACCGGCUAACUCCGUGCCAGCAGCCGCGGUAAUAC
rnacentral:rRNA from 1 species